UUCAAUCUUCAUCACCUGUAACUUUAACCAGUUAUGAGUAGUAUAUAAACACGAAACGUUCAGCUUAAGGUCACAGAACUUAUCUUGCUUCAGACGGAUAACACAGUUAAAAUUCCAAAAUGAUCCAAAAAGUUGUAGCCUUGUUCUUCGUGGUAUGUUUGGCCGGAAGUGCUUUCGCACAAUUUGAUAAUUUGGCAAGCAUGAUGUUCCUGAGGCAUAUGAUGAAUCCAUCAAGACAAGAUGCUUCAGUAGCACAGAAUACAAAUUCACUAGGCGGAUCCGCUGGUGCAGGACAGGCUGGCCAAUCUGGUAUGAAUAGAUUGCUUCCUUUAAUGUGGGGAAGUCAGAUGGAUAUAGACCCCAUGAUGAUGUUGAUGAUGGGUUGAUAACAAGCUGAACUAAAGGAAUUGAUUGUUACGGGGCACAUUUUCACAUCCAUUUCAUUGUACAUUAUACGUCAUUCACAAAUUAUUUAUUUUCUUUAAUAAACUAAUUUAACUUU